rnacentral:rRNA from 1 species
CCUACUGGUGGCAGCAGUGGGGAAUCUUGGACAAUGGGGGCAACCCUGAUCCAGCCAUGCCGCGUGAACGAUGAAGGCCUUAGGGUUGUAAAGUUCUUUCAGCUGGGAAGAUAAUGACGGUACCAGCAGAAGAAGCCCCGGCUAACUCCGUGCCAGCAGCCGCGGUAAUACGGAGGGGGCUAGCGUUGUUCGGAAUUACUGGGCGUAAAGCGCACGUAGGCGGACCAUCAAGUUGGGGGUGAAAUCCCGGGGCUCAACCCCGGAACUGCCUCCAAGACUGCUGGUCUGGAGGUCGAGAGAGGCGAGUGGAAUUCCGAGUGUAGAGGUGAAAUUCGUAGAUAUUCGGAGGAACACCAGUGGCGAAGGCGGCUCGCUGGCUCGAUACUGACGCUGAGGUGCGAAAGCGUGGGGAGCAAACAGGAUUAGAUACCCCGGUAGUCGC